GAUGAAGAACGCAGCGAAAUGCGAUACUUGGUGUGAAUUGCAGAAUCCCGUGAACCAUCGAGUCUUUGAACGCAAGUUGCGCCCGAAGCCAUUAGGCCGAGGGCACGCCUGCCUGGGUGUCACACAUCGUUACCCCAACGCAAACAUGUAACAAUGUUGCUGCGCGGGGUGUAUGCUGACCUCCCGCGAGCACCCGCCUCGUGGUUGGUUGAAAUCUGGGUUCAUGGCCGACUUCGCCGUGAUAAAAUGGUGGAUGAGCCACGCUCGAGACCAAUCACGUGCGAGCCGGUCAGUUCUGGACCCAUCGACGACCCUUUGCGUGCACGCACGCUCCCAACGAGACCUCAGGUCAGGCGGGGCUACCCGCUGAGUUUAAGCAUUCAAUAAGCGGAGGA
rnacentral:misc_RNA from 1 species